ACACUCUUGUUUCACUUCAGAUCGCAUAAAUCUUUCGCCUUUUACUAAAGAUUUCCGUGGAGUGGAACAUUAUGAGUAUUCACCAAUUUUUUGAUGCCCUGCUUCAUUGCGGGGCU
ensembl:snRNA U5 U5 spliceosomal RNA